rnacentral:lncRNA from 1 species
UUAUAGUUACGUGUAUAUGAGUGACUACAAAUAAAUUAUUAAAGUCCAUAUGCAUCCAUGACUAAUUAUAUAAUGAUAUUAUUUUUCCAUUUUGAAUGUUUUUAUUCAAAAACUUAUUUAAACUAACAAACUUAUAUUUUGGUCAUUCAUUAUCACCUUUUCUUAGGUCUAGUGCCUAAGCUCACAUCACAACAAAUUAGAAAUUGGAUGGAUAAUUUCCUUUAUUCAAAGAGGAAAAAAAGGAAAGAAAACCCAACCAACCAAACAACAACACCACCAACAAAAAAGAAGGCAUUUUAUCUUCCUAUAAUGCACACUUUUUCUUAGGUCUAGUGCCUAAGAUCACAUCACAACAAAGAAUCAAAAACAGAAACUAAUCACAAAAGAAAAAAGAAAAAAAGAAAAGAAAAAGGAGAAGAUUCUUCGUCUUGAUAACAUGUAGUGGCACUACGGAGUUAAUGGAGAAUUGGCUAAAUGGCAAGCAGCACAUGAAAUGAAGGUGAUGGUGGUGUCAUUAUACAAAGGACCAAACCGUCCCAAUCUAGAAGAAGCAGUGCUGGCUUAGGGUUAGAGGGGCAUAUAUUCCCACGGGUCACUUAUGAGCCUAUCCUAAGUUGGUGUAUUUUUCUUCUUCUUGCAUGUGAAGUUUCAAUGUACUUCAUGUGAAGCCUGUCAUUGUAUUGUAGCCACCCAACACAAAAAUUUAACCAUAAUUUAUAGCGAGUUGCUUUCAUUUGAUGUAAUAAUGAUUUCUUAUUCUGUAAUACCUAAUAUACGGAUACGUGGUAUAACUCGUUUACGUGUUAUAACACGAGUGAAUAACAAUGUUAAGAUUUUCCACUUAUAUUAUAAGACGUGGAUGAGUUAUAUUGAUAUCACAGAUAUUAAACAUGAUCAUUAAUUUUAAUCAGAAUAUGAAAAUUUAAUACGUCAGAUUAUGCGGAAAGAAAAAAUUCCUUUUAUUACGAGACAAAUUCCUUUUAGUAUAAAAUUAGACGUUGAUGUGAUUAAAAGAUGUACAAUGGACCUUUAAUAUUGCAAAUUAUAUGUUGAGCAAAUAAGAAAAAGAAUGUCG